rnacentral:tRNA from 1 species
GAAAUAUUCAUAAAAGUAAGCUUCUAACUUAACUUUAAAGCUAUUAGUUUGUAUUUCU